rnacentral:piRNA from 1 species
UUCACUUGACUAACUUUGUAA